CGUGUAGGCGGCCUUUUAAGUCAGACGUGAAAUCCAUGGGCUUAACCCAUGAAUUGCGUUUGAAACUGGAGGGCCUGAGGAUCGGAGAGGGCAGUGGAAUUCCCAGUGUAGCGGUGAAAUGCGUAGAUAUUGGGAGGAACACCAGUGGCGAAGGCGACUGCCUGGACGACACCUGACGCUGAGGCGCGAAAGCUAGGGGAGCAAACGGGAUUAGAUACCCCGGUAGUCCUAGCCGUAAACGAUGGGUACUAGGUGUGGGAGGUAUCGACCCCUUCCGUGCCGCAGUUAACACAAUAAGUACCCCGCCUGGGGAGUACGGCCGCAAGGUUGAA
rnacentral:rRNA from 1 species